rnacentral:rRNA from 1 species
AUUGUAGCAAUACAGUUCUGGGGGAAGUGGCGAAAGGGGCAGUAAGGCGUGGGUAACCUACCCCGGGGACCGGGAUAGCCUCCCUAACGGGAGGGUAAUACCGGGCGAUCUGAGCGAGGGGCAUCUCCCGCUCAGGAGAUGAGUUUCGCCUCGGGAGGGGCUCACGUGGUAUUAGCUAGACGGCGGGGUAACGGCCCACCGUGGCCAAGAUGCCUAGCGGGUGUGAGAGCACGACCCGCGCCACUGGCACUGAGACACUGGCCAGACUCCUACGGGAGGCUGCAGUCGAGGAUCUUCGGCAAUGGGCGCAAGCCUGACCGAGCGACGCCGCGUGCGCGAUGAAGGCCUUCGGGUUGUAAAGCGAUGUCGAGGGGGAGGAAGACCCGCAAGGGUUUGACCUAUCCCUGGAGGAAGCACGGGCUAAGUUCGUGCCAGCAGCCGCGGUAAGACGAACCGUGCGAACGUUGUUCGGAAUCACUGGGCUUAAAGGGCGCGUAGGCGGGCCUCCCAGUCCGGGGUGAAAGCUUUCGGCUUAACCGGAAAAGUGCCUUGGAUACUGGAGGCCUCGAGGGAGGUAGGGGCAGCUGGAACUUCCGGUGGAGCGGUGAAAUGCGUUGAUAUCGGAAGGAACGCCGGUGGCGAAAGCGAGCUGCUGGACCUCUACUGACGCUGAGGCGCGAAAGCCAGGGGAGCGAACGGGAUUAGAUACCCCGGUAGUCCUGGCCCUAAACGAUGGGUACUGGGUAGGGGACUGGACAUGGGUUCCCUGCCGCA